rnacentral:rRNA from 1 species
GAUGAACGCUGGCGGCGUGCCUAAUACAUGCAAGUCGAGCGAACGGACGAGAAGCUUGCUUCUCUGAUGUUAGCGGCGGACGGGUGAGUAACACGUGGAUAACCUACCUAUAAGACUGGGAUAACUUCGGGAAACCGUAGCUAAUACCGGAUAAUAUUUUGAACCGCAUGGUUCAAAAGUGAAAGACGGUCUUGCUGUCACUUAUAGAUGGAUCCGCGCUGCAUUAGCUAGUUGGUAAGGUAACGGCUUACCAAGGCAACGAUGCAUAGCCGACCUGAGAGGGUGAUCGGCCACACUGGAACUGAGACACGGUCCAGACUCCUACGGGAGGCAGCAGUAGGGAAUCUUGCGCAAUGGGCGAAAGCCUGACGGAGCAACGCCGCGUGAGUGAUGAAGGUCUUCGGAUCGUAAAACUCUGUUAUUAGGGAAGAACAUAUGUGUAAGUAACUGUGCACAUCUUGACGGUACCUAAUCAGAAAGCCACGGCUAACUACGUG